rnacentral:lncRNA from 1 species
GUCCUCAUUUCUUCACUUUUAGAAGAAAUAAAGCAAUAAAAUGAAAAGAUAACCUGGAGAAAAGAAAGGGACGCUUAGUGUAUUUUAUCUUUUAUAAAAGUUGAGACAAAUUCAAUGCCAGUAAAAUUUCAGGGGGCUGUAUGAAGCCUAGCCUAGAGCGACCUACAGCAGGCAGCUCUGGAUAGCAGGAGGAGCUGCACACUGGUGCCUUGAAUUUAUACUCUGCAGCAGCUCUGACGCAUACGGUAGGUAGGUAGGUGGUCUGAGUGUGACUCCUGCAGCUUUUCUGGAUGCCAUCCAUAUCUGCGCUGCUGUUUGCUCCCAACUGCAUUUGACCUAGCACACUUUGUGCUUUUCAAUCUUGGCUGUAGAAAAGAGCAGAGAAAAGUAGAUGCAUAUAUUAAUAGGGGGUUGUAACACAAUAAAAGCCAAGUGGCAGAUGUCAGGAAAAGUCCAUUACCAUCACUCUUGUCUAUUGCUAAAGGACAGUUCUACCUCUGCUAAAAGUGCAUUUCUACCUGAGCAGGAAACAAGGCUGGAAAAGCCUAAUACUGAGAAACAAAAUUAACUCUCUGAAGAACAGAACCAGGUACAUGCAGACACUCAUGUGGAUUCUCUCACCUCCUUUCCCCCACAUCCCCCACCUGACUGCGUGUUGCUUUGGCCUCUCUCCAGCUGCAGCAGAAGGGAGAAGAAACAAAGGACUCCCAAGUGGGUCUGGAUUGCCUGCAGGUGUCCCCAACAUGUCUGUGCCUUUGCCAGCUGGGAGUCAGGGCUCUGCCGUGGCCCCGGGCAUCGCGUGCCAAUUCCAGCCUCGUCAAUUCUCUGUGAAACCUUCAAACGCUCGCAGUGCAUGUUACUGUACACCAGGUACAAAGGGUCUAAUGGCCCAGCUUCUGAAAACUGAGAUGGUGCCAGAAUCCGCUGUGGUCUUGGCUCAAGCACACACUGGUGAGCAAACACAGGAGCAGAGAGCACUGUUGUAUCCAUCAAGAAGACACUGCUAUUGUGUCUCCUCCAAACCCAUG